rnacentral:rRNA from 1 species
AUUGAACGCUGGCGGCAGGCCUAACACAUGCAAGUCGAGCGGCAGCGACUUAACUGAACCUUCGGGGAACGUUAAGGGCGGCGAGCGGCGGACGGGUGAGUAAUGCCUGGGAAUAUGCCCUGAUGUGGGGGAUAACUAUUGGAAACGAUAGCUAAUACCGCAUAAUCUCUUCGGAGCAAAGAGGGGGACCUUCGGGCCUCUCGCGUCAGGAUUAGCCCAGGUGGGAUUAGCUUGUUGGUGAGGUAAUGGCUCACCAAGGCAACGAUCCCUAGCUGGUCUGAGAGGAUGAUCAGCCACACUGGAACUGAGACACGGUCCAGACUCCUACGGGAGGCAGCAGUGGGGAAUAUUGCACAAUGGGGGAAACCCUGAUGCAGCCAUGCCGCGUGUGUGAAGAAGGCCUUCGGGUUGUAAAGCACUUUCAGUAGGGAGGAAGGUAGUGUAGUUAACACCUGCAUUAUUUGACGUUACCUACAGAAGAAGCACCGGCUAACUCCGUGCCAGCAGCCGCGGUAAUACGGAGGGUGCGAGCGUUAAUCGGAAUUACUGGGCGUAAAGCGCAUGCAGGCGGCCUGUUAAGUCAGAUGUGAAAGCCCGGGGCUUAUCCUCGGAAUUGCAUUUGAAACUGGCAGGCUAAGUCUUGUAGAGGGGGGUAGAAUUUCAGGUGUAGCGGUGAAAUGCGUAGAGAUCUGAAGGAAUACCAGUGGCGAAGGCGGCCCCCUGGACAAAGACUGACGCUCAAUGCGAAAGCGUGGGGAGCAAACAGG